GACGAACGCUGGCGGCGUGCUUAACACAUGCAAGUCGAACGGAAAGGCCCUGCUUUUGUGGGGUGCUCGAGUGGCGAACGGGUGAGUAACACGUGAGUAACUUGCCCUUGACUUUGGGAUAACUUCAGGAAACUGGGGCUAAUACCGGAUAGGAGUUCCUGCUGCAUGGUGGGGGUUGGAAAGUUUCGGCGGUUGGGGAUGGACUCGCGGCUUAUCAGCUUGUUGGUGGGGUAGUGGCUUACCAAGGCUUUGACGGGUAGCCGGCCUGAGAGGGUGACCGGCCACAUUGGGACUGAGAUACGGCCCAGACUCCUACGGGAGGCAGCAGUGGGGAAUAUUGCACAAUGAGCGGAAGCCUGAUGCAGCAACGCCGCGUGCGGGAUGACGGCCUGCGGGUUGUGAACCGCUUUCGCCUGUGACGAAGCGUGAGUGACGGUAAUGGGUAAAGAAGCACCGGCUAACUACGUG
rnacentral:rRNA from 1 species